GUGUCAGCAGCCGCGGUAAUACGAAGGGGGCUAGCGUUGCUCGGAUUUACUGGGCGUAAAGGGCGCGUAGGCGGACGAUUUAGUCAGAGGUGAAAGCCCGGGGCUCAACCCCGGAAUUGCCCUUGAUACUGGUCGUCUUGAGUUUGGGAGAGGUAUGCGGAACUCCGAGUGUAGAGGUGAAAUUCGUAGAUAUUCGGAAGAACACCAGUGGCGAAGGCGGCAUACUGGCCCAAUACUGACGCUGAGGCGCGAAAGCGUGGGGAGCAAACAGGAUUAGAUACCCUGGUAGUCC
rnacentral:rRNA from 1 species